GACAGAGGUGCCGAGCGUUAGGCGGAAUCACUGGGCUUAAAGCGUGUGUAGGCGGAGUGCUAAGUACCUUGUGAAAUCCCACGGCUUAACCGUGGAACUGCUUGGUAUACUGGUUCUCUUGGGUCAUCUAGGGGCGAGCGGAACAAACGGUGGAGCGGUGAAAUGCGUAGAUAUCGUUUGGAACGCCAAAGGUGAAAACAGGUUGCUGGGAGUGUGCUGACGCUGAGACACGAAAGCCAGGGGAGCGAACGGG
rnacentral:rRNA from 1 species